UGGGGAAUAUUGCACAAUGGGCGAAAGCCUGAUGCAGCGACGCCGCGUGCGGGAUGACGGCCUUCGGGUUGUAAACCGCUUUCAGCAGGGAAGAAGCGAAAGUGACGGUACCUGCAGAAGAAGCGCCGGCUAACUACGUGCCAGCAGCCGCGGUAAUACGUAGGGCGCGAGCGUUAUCCGGAAUUAUUGGGCGUAAAGAGCUCGUAGGCGGUUUGUCACGUCUGCUGUGAAAGCCCGGGGCUCAACCCCGGGUGUGCAGUGGGUACGGGCAGACUAGAGUGCAGUAGGGGAGACUGGAAUUCCUGGUGUAGCGGUGAAAUGCGCAGAUAUCAGGAGGAACACCGAUGGCGAAGGCAGGUCUCUGGGCUGUUACUGACGCUGAGGAGCGAAAGCAUGGGGAGCGAACAGG
rnacentral:rRNA from 1 species